CUCCAGGGACUGGGGUAGUCGCGAAGAUUCUGGAUUAGCCCCCAAAUGAAAGACCCCCAUAGCAGGGAGACCCUCACUCAAGUCUCGGGAUGACCCUCCCCCCAAAAGAACUCACACACGA
rnacentral:pre_miRNA from 14 species